CAGCAGCCGCGGUAAAACGAAGGGUGCAAGCGUUACUCGGAAUUACUGGGCGCAAAGCGUGCGUAGGUGGUGGUUUAAGUCCGUUGUGAAAGCCCUGGGCUCAACCUGGGAAUUGCAGUGGAUACUGGGUCACUAGAGUGUGGUAGAGGAUAGUGGAAUUUCCGGUGUAGCAGUGAAAUGCGUAGAGAUCGGAAGGAACAUCUGUGGCGAAGGCGACUAUCUGGGCCAACACUGACACUGAGGCACGAAAGCGUGGGGAGCAAACAGGAUUAGAUACCCCGGUAGUCCCUGUCUCUUAUAC
rnacentral:rRNA from 1 species